CUGCUGAUACCUUACUCUACAUUCCUAGCCUCUCAGCAGCAUCUGCCACACUCUCCUCAACGAGUUGCUUCCCAGCGGCACCCAGAUAUGCCGUGGUUGCAGUUUAGGCUGUGGCAGCAAUGAACAGAGCCUGCCUGAGGACCAGCAAUGGCUUCCUGUCACCUGAAGGGAAAAGGAAAGGAAAUGUGCAUGGUUGCUGAACCUGAACCUGAAUCGAGAAUUCUGCUCCUUUAUCAGAAGUGAGAUUCUGAUAUUCUUUGGAUACUCACACUGGGGCAGGGAGUGGGGGUGGGAAGGGAAGUACAGCAUUUUUAUUUCUUCCUAUCCUGGGGUUAUAUAUGACCAUCCUGAGA
rnacentral:lncRNA from 1 species